UAUNGGUCAAUGGACGCGAGUCUGAACCAGCNAAGUAGCGUGAAGGAUGACUGCCCUAUGGUUUGUAAACUUCUUUUAUAUGGGAAUAAAGUUUUCUACGUGUGGCAUUUUGUAUGUACCAUAUGAAUAAGGAUCGGCUAACUCCGUGUCAGCAGCCGCGGUAAUACGGAGGAUCCGAGCGUUAUCCGGAUUUCUUGGGUUUAAAGGGAGAGUAGGUGGAUUGUUAAGUCAGUUGUGAAAGUUUGCGGCUCAACCGUAAAAUUGCAGUUGAAACUGGCAGUCUUGAGUACAGUAGAGGUGGGCGGAAUUCGUGGUGUAGCGGUGAAAUGCUUAGAUAUCACGAAGAACUCCGAUUGCGAAGGCAGCUCACUAGACUGCAACUGACACUGAUGCUCGAAAGUGUGGGUAUCAAAC
rnacentral:rRNA from 1 species